rnacentral:rRNA from 1 species
CCUACGGGAGGCUGCAGUGGGGAAUAUUGGACAAUGGGCGAAAGCCUGAUCCAGCCAUGCCGCGUGUGUGAAGAAGGCCUUCGGGUUGUAAAGCACUUUCAGUGGGGAAGAAAGCCUUGGGGCUAAUACCCUCGAGGAAGGACAUCACCCACAGAAGAAGCACCGGCUAACUCCGUGCCAGCAGCCGCGGUAAUACGGAGGGUGCGAGCGUUAAUCGGAAUUACUGGGCGUAAAGCGCGCGUAGGCGGUCUGAUAAGCCGGUUGUGAAAGCCCCGGGCUCAACCUGGGAACGGCAUCCGGAACUGUCAGGCUAGAGUGCAGGAGAGGAAGGUAGAAUUCCCGGUGUAGCGGUGAAAUGCGCAGAGAUCGGGAGGAAUACCAGUGGCGAAGGCGGCCUUCUGGACUGACACUGACGCUGAGGUGCGAAAGCGUGGGUAGCAAACAGGAUUAGAUACCCUUGUAGUC